UACGGGGGGAGCAAGCGUUGUUCGGAUUUACUGGGCGUAAAGGGCGCGUAGGCGGUCAGCACAAGUCAGUUGUGAAAUCUCCGGGCUUAACUCGGAAAGGUCAACUGAUACUGUGCGACUAGAGUGCGGAAGGGGCAACUGGAAUUCUCGGUGUAGCGGUGAAAUGCGCAGAUAUCGGGAGGAACACCGGUGGCGAAGGCGGUUCUCUGGGCCUUACCUGACGCUGAGGAGCGAAAGCGUGGGGAGCGAACAGG
rnacentral:rRNA from 1 species